GACGAACGCUGGCGGCGUGCUUAACACAUGCAAGUCGAACGGAAAGGCCCUGCUUUUGUGGGGUGCUCGAGUGGCGAACGGGUGAGUAACACGUGAGUAACCUGCCCUUGACUUUGGGAUAACUUCAGGAAACUGGGGCUAAUACCGGAUAGGAGCUCCUGCUGCAUGGUGGGGGUUGGAAAGUUUCGGCGGUUGGGGAUGGACUCGCGGCUUAUCAGCUUGUUGGUGGGGUAGUGGCUUACCAAGGCUUUGACGGGUAGCCGGCCUGAGAGGGUGACCGGCCACAUUGGGACUGAGAUACGGCCCAGACUCCUACGGGAGGCAGCAGUGGGGAAUAGUGCACAAUGGGCGGAAGCCUGGUGCAGCAACGCCGCGUGCGGGAUGACGGCCUUCGGGUUGUAAACCGCUUUCGCCUGUGACGAAGCGUGAGUGACGGUAAUGGGUAAAGAAGCACCGGCUAACUACGUG
rnacentral:rRNA from 1 species